GGGCCGAUAGUUUAUCUGGUUAAAACGUCACCCUUGACAAGUGAAGAGCGGGGUUCAAGUCCCCGUCGGUCCA
rnacentral:tRNA from 1 species